GGCGGGGCAGAUCUGCCCUCUGAAUGGGCAGCCCAAGGUCUGUGGGAAAAGCGGAGAGCACCCGCCGACCUUCCCUUCACCUGAGUGAAGGGGUCCUUCCGUUGUUGCCAUCGCCAUCCUCUGCCGGCGCCAGACCCCAGCUUCCGUGAACUUUGGAUGUGGUCUCAACACUAGUGACUGCAGAGAACCCCAGGCAUUCAGCACCAGUGUGGGGCUGCUAAGGCAGCCACAGAGUCUUCCAGUGUCCUACGCUGUACUCUGCAUGUGGAAAUGAGGCUGUAUUCCGAGAGAGAUUCCCAAGGAUGAGGGAAAUCGGAGGUACAGUGGGACACCGUUUUUGAAGCCUUGCUGUACACUAUGAUUAAAAUACAAUGUUACAUCUCACAAAGCUGCAGAGAGAAAAUUAGGAGCAUGGAUGCUUGCAUAUGUGUAUGUCUAUGUACCGUGUGUGCCUAGUGUCUGCGGAAUCAAGAAGAGGGCGUCAGAUCCUCUGGAACUGGAGUUAGAGAUGGCUGUAAGCUGCAGGGUGGAGUAGCAAGUGCUAACUGCUGAGCAGUCUCCAGCCCACUCCAGUUGUUACUGCUGUCUAAUCCUUAUGGAGUACAGUGUACACAGUGGGGUCAGUGUGGUCUAGCAGGCCAUUGGCUGGGCUGCACCACGAAGCCCCUGGGAUGUACAGCCUGGCAGCUGUACACUUCCUCCUGGAGAAGCCUCAGUGGUGGAGACUGUGAUGCAGAGGUCUGCAGAGGCAGAUGGUUGCGUUUCCUGACAGGAGAGAAGCUCUCCUGCACUUUAUCUCUUCCUUCCUGCCCAGUUAUAAAUAUAACCGCUGUUCAGCCAGCAUGACCUGUUAGCUUUUAUUACAGAGCUGGAGUACAAGUGAUUAGUCUCGGGGUUGGGGGUAGGGCUGGCAAUGAACUGUGUUUUAGG
rnacentral:lncRNA from 1 species